rnacentral:misc_RNA from 1 species
AAGUCGUAACAAGGUUUCCGUAGGUGAACCUGCGGAAGGAUCAUUAACGAGUUCUGAAAUGGGGCUGUUGCUGGCUGUCCCGCCCUCUCGGGGGACAAGGGUACGGCACGUGCACGCCUCUGCUCUUCCAACUCUCAAACCUCUGUGCACUCUCUGUAGGUGGGGUCUGAAGGGCCUGUGCCCCUGUGCAUGGAGCCCGGAUAUGCCUUGCCUAUGUUUCUUCAUGAACCUUUGUCUUCAGGAUGUACAAUUUUGUAUCUAUGUAUACAUUACAAAAAGCAUACAACUUUCAGCAACGGAUCUCUUGGCUCUC